GAGAUGUGGUCGAACGAUGAAGCCCAGCUUGCUGGGUGGAUUAGUGGCGAACGGGUGAGUAACACGUGAGUAACCUGCCCUUAACUCUGGGAUAAGCCUGGGAAACUGGGUCUAAUACCGGAUAGGAGCGUCCACCGCAUGGUGGGUGUUGGAAAGAUUUAUCGGUUUUGGAUGGACUCGCGGCCUAUCAGCUUGUUGGUGAGGUAAUGGCUCACCAAGGCGACGACGGGUAGCCGGCCUGAGAGGGUGACCGGCCACACUGGGACUGAGACACGGCCCAGACUCCUACGGGAGGCAGCAGUGGGGAAUAUUGCACAAUGGGCGCAAGCCUGAUGCAGCGACGCCGCGUGAGGGAUGACGGCCUUCGGGUUGUAAACCUCUUUCAGUAGGGAAGAAGCGAAAGUGACGGUACCUGCAGAAGAAGCACCGGCUAACUACGUGCCAGCAGCCGCGGUAAUACGUAGGGUGCGAGCGUUAUCCGGAAUUAUUGGGCGUAAAGAGCUCGUAGGCGGUUUGUCGCGUCUGUCGUGAAAGUCCGGGGCUUAACCCCGGAUCUGCGGUGGGUACGGGCAGACUACAGUGCAGUAGGGGAGACUGGAAUUCCUGGUGUAGCGGUGGAAUGGCCAGAUAUCAGGAGGAACACCGAUGGCG
rnacentral:rRNA from 1 species